CGGGAUACCACUUCUUACGUUCAACGGGAACAUAAAUCUAAUUGUUCCUCUCUUCACUUAAGCCAUAAGCAUUCCAAAUUAGAUCAUAUCUCCGAACCACAUGAAUGAACCUUGUGCAUUUGAACUCUCUGUGGCUUGCCAAAGCUGCCUUCUGAAACCAGCGGCAGCUGGCUUUACAAUCCAGAAGAGGUUUCGGGGUCUCGUCAAACAUGGCUGACGUUCAAGAAUCUCUCCUCUUGGCAAGCGUCUGUUUGGGUGUUAUCACUCCUAAUUGCUGGUGAUAUUAAGGAGCAGAUCUCUGAGGCCUGACUCCCUUUGUGCAGCCAAAUUGCUGACGUAUGUUAAAAACACCCUUAUAAACUGCCAUUUGCGGGCACAAUUAUCAGUGCCCUUUCAUUUCAGGACAUCUUGGCUUCCUCAGACCAAAAAGAAGAGGAAAUUUGAAAAAAAUAAGCCAAGAAAAGGACACAAUCAUAAUUGCAAUACUAGGAGUAAACUUUAAAGUUAUAGCUACUAUAGAAUCUUUGGAAAAUCUUAAGAUUACUAAACAUCAUGGAAAUUUUUAAGCUCUGCUUCCAACAGUCUGACAUCUGGACAACCUGAGAGCAGUUGGAAGCUCAUCUCCAUCUCCUUCCAACUGUUGUGAAAGCAGAUCACUUUGUACAACAAAGCGAGAGACAGCCACCAAAAUGCCAAGUACGAUGGCAAUUUUCAUGAAAUUUUUCCCUUUCUGUCUUCUCCACACAGAGACUACUGCAAAGUUGUCACAUGGUAGUAAUUUUCAAGAACUAGCUGGAAUGCCAAGGGUCAGAGAGAGAUGUUACAUUGAUGAGCCAACCAUCCCCUCGAGAUUGUUGGUUGGCGAUAAAAUCCAGGACAUGUGUAUCUAGGUUCCCAGUGGAUGAACCACACUCUUAAGUAUAAUUUAGCCGCGUCCGUGGUAGCUUCACAUUACACAAAGAAUCAGGUCACCGCCGAGCUGCCAAGAAGAGCCUUGGAAAACUGUAUAGAGUACAUUAAAAUCAACAGAAAGGCUUCCCAUGUCACAAUAUUUGGAUAACUUCUCACCCCUCCAAGCUCCCCCGAAAAAGCCACCCCUGGCUAAAGUUUGACACUACUGGCUUGAAUCACAGAAUCAGAUUCAAACUUUUAAACAAACCACUGCACAGAUAUUAACUUCCCUGUGGGCCUGGGAACGCCAUCUGGCCCUGCUGGAUGUGAACAGAGAUUCAGUAUCUGGGGCAGAGCCGAGGCAAACCGCAGAGCGUUAUCGGAAAGUGAGUUACCCGCUGCCCACAUGAGCCCGGCGCUGAGCUCAGUUUCUGUGGUUCUUCAUCCUCCUAAUUGACGCCCUGCACCAGGAGAAAAAGUAAAAAUAAGACAUCUUGCCUUAACAUUCACAUCAGUCUCUGUGGGUCCAAAGACACAGGCUGUGCAGCUUUCCAACAUCUUCCUGGGUCUAAAGCAUCACCUUCAGUCGACUCUUGUAAAAGCAGAUGGCAAUCACAGAAUUCAAGGGGCAGUGGCCUUGAGAGCCUCUCCAAACAGUGAGGCUGGGCUACCAAGAAAGAGAAAAAGAAAUGAAAACCAAUUUUCAUUACCUCUUGGACAAAAGUGGGAGAGAGGGAAAGAGGGCCAGGAGGAGGAGACAGACAUGAUCUUCGUUAUUAAUAAGUUUUAACAACAGUAUGAUCAAGACGUAUUCUCACACCAGGCAGCGAGUCCAGAGAGGGACAAACGGUCUAUCCUCUCACAGGGUUUUUAGCAGAAAAGUAAUGUCCAUUUGGGUAGCACUUUGAAAUAAAGUACUUUCACAUACAGAAACUCGCUUAAACUCUGAGCAACCCUGAGCUAUUACACCCACUUCAUGAGUGAGGAAACUGAGACUUGAGGAGACAUGGAACCAGCAAUAAGUGGCAGAACCAGGAUAACAGAGGGAUGGAUCAGCAGUUCCCUAGACAGACGAAAGAAGCAGGCGAGAAUUCCCGUGCUAUUCUUUGGGAAAAAAGAAAUAAAGCAUAGGCCCCAGAUAGGGGUGGGGAGAGACUCACCUCCAUCUUUGUGAUGGGCCAAGGACUAUGGAAACAGGACUUUGGGGUGUUAUGUUUAUUCUUAUUCCGACAAUUCAAAGAGAAGAAUCCCUAAGCUGAUAAAUUCUCAUUUCAAAGGUGAGUCAUAGAACAUUGUCUACAAAAAGAAAUCCACCCAGAAAUGUGAGAUGAGAGAGUUAUAAACCAAGGGCCCCAGCUGUUACUUGAAUCGGUGGGUGCCUCAAAUGGGACAGCAGCUUAAGCCAAAAUAUCAAAGGACUUUACAGGCAAGCAGCACACCUUGAAGUGACUCUGGAAUACGACCCAGGCUGCAGAUGGAGACUCGGGAUCUCAAAGGCCAGGCCCCUAGUGGCAGCGGGAACUCAAGUCCACAACGCAAACCCCAAGACUCCUUCAACUUCAACCACAAGGAAAGGUUCUUCUGGUUGUGCUAUGUGGGACGCCACCUCAGCAUGGCUUGAUGAGCAGUGCCAUGUCCGCAGUCAGGAUCCGAACCCGGCGAAACCCUGGGUCGCUGAAGCCAAGUGCACGAACUCAACCACUCGGCCAUGAGGCCGGCCCCUGAAGAAAGCUUACCUCGAAGGAUCAGUCCAGCAGAGUGAGACUUGCAUUGUCCUGCACACCCCUGUUCCUACCUGCACAGCUCUGGACCACCCCAGAACUCCUGAUGCCCACUCUUCCUUCAAACCUUUCCCAUGAAAGGCCCUCUCUGCUUUGUCCUGUUCUCCUAUCUCUUCCAGAAAAUGUAGCUGGGACUCCCAUUUCCACUGCCAUGCUCUGGCUGGGGAAGCCAGAUUUUUCAGCAGGGAAAUAAUCUUGCAUAUUAAGAUCAACCUUAAAAAUUAUCCCCAUCAGCCAUGAGAUGUGCACAAAUACUCUGUUAUUAAUAAAAAUGUAACAGCUCUGAAAUAAAAUUGAAUUAUUCUUUUAAUAACUUAGAAUGGAUUAAAGGGUAUCCUUCAAAUAACGUCACUUCUGAUGUGCUUUCUUGAUUUAAAAAAAAAAGAAAAGCUUUGACUUAAAAUGAAGGGGAGAGAAGUUAACCACAGGUCCUACUUCUCACAACCCAAAAGCCCCUGUUAACAGUUGUGGGAACUGUAAGUUACUCAUGAGCUGUGGCUUAUAGUUUCUGCUGUUUUCUUUUGAAUUCACUUUGGGAUAUAUUUUCAAUAAGAAAGGCAUCAAGGAUAAGCAAAGAAUGUGUGAGCGGCUCCUGCAUUGCAAGUGAAUAAGAAUGUUUCUGUGCCACUCUUCUGAGCAAAGUUGGCACGCUGGAGAGAUCUGCAAUCGAGAAGUAGUAAUUCUUCUUUAAUUUUUCCAGUAUGAUCAUUUCAAAUUUGCUUUCAUGCAUGUAUCACAAGAAGAACCAGAUGGGUUGAAUUUGCCUGUGUCCCUUAUUAAUCAUGGUUGCACCACUUGAUCUCUUCAUACUACUAAUAUCCAAAAAUCUGUGAAUUCCAUUUAUGGUGACUUUUAACAAAAAUAGUGUUUAUUUAGACAUAGUUAUUGUAGUACAUGCUUGCUUAAUUAUCUGUGGAAUAGAAAGGGACAAAAUCAAUACUUCUUUAAAAAAUAAUCUGUUCCUGGGCCAGCCCUGCAGCCCAGUGGAUAAGUUUGGCAUGCUCUGCUUCAGUGGCCCAGGUUCGGAUCCCAGGCAUGGAUCUACACCACUUUUCAGCAGCCGUGCUGUGGUGGCGACCCACAUACAAAAUAGAGGAUGACUGACACAGAUGUUAGCUCAGGGUGAAGCUCCCUCGGCAAAAAAAAAAAAAUUUAAAUUUAAAAAAAACUACUCCUUAAAUACAUUUUAAAAAUAAUUUUCCACUAUUACAUUAGCAAUAUUAAUUUUUUUAGCCUAUAAAAUGACAAGUUUUUGAGAUCUUUACAUGACUGCUUUACUCAACAUGGGGAUCGAUGUAUUUGUGAAUGUCACUGAAAAAAGCACAAUAUCAUUUACCUUAUUUUCCCACAAGAUUUUUUAUAUUUUCUUAAAAUCUGAGUCCAAUCAUGGGAUGUGUCAUUUUAUCAGACGUAUAUACAACUAUACAGCUUGGGCUGAAUGUCAUCCAUCAUAUGCUGUAGUGGGUUGAAUGGCAUUGAAGGGGAUCAGAAUAUGUUACCCCAAAAUAUGCCACUUUGGCAUAAGGACUAUUUUGAGGGGAAGGCAACUGAGAUACAGCAGAUGCAAGAGAAACUCUCUGCCCUCCUCCUUUUGAACCCCGGGGGCCAACUUGCUGUAACUACACUCAGUUGUUUGAUUGUAAAAGUAGUUAGAUAAUGCAUUACUAAAACCCACCCUGUAGACAACAUCUCUGAGGCUUGGGCCACCAUGGUAACGGGUGGAGCACUUGGGUUCUUCAGGAACUGAGAGUCCACCCCUUGUCCCAGUUCAGGUAGGUUGGACCUGGGCAAAUGCUCAACAAGUGACCUUCUUUGACAUCAAGGAGCUAAAAACGCCACCCUCAGAUCAUAGUAAGGCCGCCAUUUUGUGAACAUGCAUCCUAUGUAGAGGCAUGAAGCUUGACUACACUUGUGCAGAUCAGCAAUUACCUCACUUCUCCUUACAUCCAAUCAUCUAUUCCCACACUUCAGACUGCCACACCCCCUCAUCUCAUAAACAUCCCUGAGUCCUCAUUUGCCAGGAGGUGGAUCUGAGAUUGAUUCUCCCACCUCCUCACUUGGCUGCCUUGUGAUUAAAUCCUUUCUGUUUACAAACUCAUCAUUUUACUGAUUGGCAUUAUCAUGUAGUGGGCAAAACAAACCUGGUUCCGUAACACUUUCUGCCUCAAAUCAGGGCAAAAAUCUCCAUUUGUAAAGGUGUCCCUGCUGCCCCCAUAUCAGGAAGAGGAGAACAACUCUUAUUAAUCCCUAGAGAUUCCUAUCAUUGUAGAUUGCCAACUUGAGACUGCAUAACAAACCUUACUAAAUAGCCCUUAUCUUCCAUUAGUUUACCCAUUUAUUUACCCUCCCCCUCUGCAGCCCAACCCCUUUUCCUUUGUCUAGUCAUUUCUCUACAAUUUAUCACUCUUUUAAAAAUGGUAUAAAGCUCUCAAGCCUAACUACUUUUUGGGUUUUCAUUUCUUUUCUGUGUAGCCCCUAUAUGCAUGCAAAAUAAACGUUUCUGCUGUUAAUCUGUCUUUUGUCAGUUUGGUCCCCAGGCCCCAGUCACUGAACCUAAAAGAGUAGAGGAAAAGUUUUUCCUCCCCUACAGUAUCCCAACUCCCAAAAGAAAUUUCCAAGUCCUAAGUCCUGGUACCUGUGAACAUGACCUUAUUCGGAAAUAGGGUUUUUACAGAUAUAAUUAAUUGAAUGAUCUCAAGAUGAGGUCAUCCUAGAUUAAUCAGGUGGACCCUAAAUCCAAUGAGAAGCCUUAUAAGAGAAAAGAAGGAGAAACAGAUGCAGAGAGAGAUACAGGGAGACUGCGAUGCAACCAUGGAGGCAGUGAUGGAGGUGAUGCUGCUACAAGCCAAGGAACCCUAAAGACUGCCAGUAACCAUCAGAAGCUAGGGGAGAGGCCUGGGACAGAUUCUCUCUUAGAGCCUCCAGGAGGAACCAACCCUGUUAACACCUUGAUUUCAGACUUCCAGCCUCCAGGACCCUGCAAGGAUAAAAUUCUCUUGUUUUAAGCCAUCAAGUUUGUGGUCAUUUGUUAUGGCAGCCCUAGGAAACUAAUACGUAUGUUUUGGGACAGGAAAACAAUGUUGCCACAGUACAGAUCAUACUUGCUCAGGUUUUAAGAGAACAGAAGAGCAGGAUCUCAUUGUUGUCAGUCAAGCCCCUGGGAAGAGAGCAGACAGAUCAGGGCCAAAGAGUUUGACCAUGAUUGGAAGAUGCUCGGUAUCAUCUCUUUGUGGGUACCAAAUACUAGGUAAAUAACUAGGCCUGGUUCAAAACCGGUGACAAAUAGAAGGAACUCCCCAACAGAACCAUCGAAGAAAGUACAUAUUUAAUAGACCUAGAGCAGGAGUUGGCAAACUUUUUCUGUAAAGGGCCAGAGAGUAAAUAUUUUCAGCUUUGUGAGCCAUAUGGUCUCUGUCACAACUACUCAACUCUGCUGUUGCAAGGUGAAAGCAGUCAUAGACAACUGGUAAACAAAUAGACAUGGAUGUGUUUCAAUAAAACUUUAUUUACACACCCGUGGGCAUAUACCCAAAGAAACUGAAAGCUGAGACUCAAAACAGAUAUUUUUACAUUCAUGUUUAUAACAGCAUAAUUCACAAUAGCCAAGAGGUGGAAACAUCCCAAGUGUCCAUCAAUUGAUGAAUAGACAAACAAAAUAUGGUAUAAAUGUAUGGUGGAAUAUUAUUCAGCCAUAAAAAAGGAAGGAAAUCCUGUGACAUGCUACCACAUGGAUGAACCCUAAGGAUAUUAUGCUGAGUGAAAUAAGCCAGAAACAAAAGGAAAAAUACUGCAUGAUUCCACUCACAUGAGGCAUCUAAAGGAGUCAAACCCUUAGAAACAAAAAGUGGAAUGGAGGUUCCCAGGGACAGAGGGGAAAGAAACUGGGCAGCUGCUAUUCAAUGGGUAUAGAGUUUCAGUUUUGCAAGAUGAAAAAGUUCUAGAGAUCCAUUACACAACAAUGUGGAUAUAGUUAACAGUACUGAACCGUACAUUUAAAAAUGGCUAAGACAGCAAAUUUAUGUUCUGUGUUUUUACCACAAUUAAAAAAAAACAGUGAUGCAAGAUGAAUUAAGUUCUGGAAACCUAAUGUACAAUAUUGUGACUAUAGUUAACAAUACUGUAUUGUAUACUGUAUAUUGUACACAUCUUAAGUGUCCUCACCACACACAUAAGAAAAAGAUGGUAGCUAGGUAGGGUGACAGAUAUGUUAAUUAGCUUGAUUGUGGCGAUUAUUUCUUAAUGAAUAUCAAAUCAUCAUGUUGCACCUUAAAUAUAUAUAAUGUUUAACUGUCAAUUAUCUUCAAUAAAGCAGGGAGGGAGCAACGAGGUGUGGAUACACACUAUAAUGUGGAUGAACCUCAAAAACAUCAUGCUAAGUAAAAUAAACCAGACACUAAAGGACAAAUAGAUGGUUCUGCUCAUAUGAAAUAUCUAGAACAGGCACAUUGUAGAGACAGAAAGUAGAUUAGAUGUUACCAGGUAUUGUGGGGAGAGGUGAAUGUGGAGUUAUGGUUUCAUGGAUACAGAGUUUCUGUUUGAGGUGAUGCAAAAGUUUUGGAAUUAGAUAAUGGUGAUAGUUACACAACAUUGUACUCAAUGCCACUAAACGGUACACUUAAAAAUGACUAAAAUGGCAAAUUUUAUGUUAUGCAUAUUCUACCACUAUUAAAAAAGUUUGCAUCUAGAAAAAAAACUUUAUUUACAAAAACAGGGGCUGACUGUGGGCCAGCCUGGUGGCACAGCAGUUAAGCUCACACAUUCCGCUUCAGCGGCCCAGGGUUCACUUGUUCAGGUCCCAGGUGCGGACCUAUGCACCGCUCAUCAAACCAUGCUGUGGCAGGCGGCCCACAUAUAAAGUAGAGGAAGAUGGGCAUGGAUGUUAGCUCAGGGCCAGUCUUCCUCAGCAAAAAGAGGAAGAUUGGCAGCAGACGUUAGCUCAGCACUAAUCUUCCUCAAAAAAAGGGGGGGGGGGAGGUGCUGGCUAUAGUUAGCUGACCCUUGAUGCAGAGUUUUCUAUAACAUCGAAGCAACUCUUGGUGUGUGUUAUCACUCCAGAAUUAUCUCAGCGUAAUUGAUAUGAGGUGGUAAGUACUUCCCAGGAGCUCUGCGAUCCUUGGUCACUGGGCUGUCGUUUCCUUAUAGGUAUACACAUACACACACCCGAAACAUGAAGGAAAGUGUAUUUAUAUUGGGUUGUGUGACCUUAAAAAGCCUCCAAACUAUGUCAGUUAUACUAUGCUGCGUACGUAAGAAAACACACAGAGGGGCCAUCUGGUAAAGUGUGAAGACUAACAGUUUGGGAGACCCAGUCACCAUUCACUGCAUUGCUCUCAAACACGUCAUUUCCACUCCCUGGACCUCAGUCUGAUCAGGUGAUUCUAAUUUCCUGGCUAUGUGACGUCCUGCAUCAGAAAAGCAUGUAGCUUGCAAAUGAGAUAGAGUAAGAGGGCAUUCCACCAUUCAUAGAUGAUUACCACUAUGCUUAGGCAUAUUUUCAUCCAGAAGAAUAAACAUCGUAGUAGAAAUAGACACGAAAUGCAAAGCUCACAGCCAUAAUUCAAUGGAUAACAACCUGCAAACCAGUGCAGGUCUAUUAGACAGCUAAUAAAAAUAAAUCACAGUGGUGUUUUUAAAAUGACUUCUCACGUGUUGUGGUUUCUUCUCGGGCAUACUGUAAAUUAAUUGUGAAGUGCUACUUCCUGCAGAGAUUUUUUUUCCCCUCCAAUAUAAGGGGUUAUAAGGCUAAAGAAUGCAGACAUACAUCAUGUCUGCAGAAAUCAUAAAAAAAGAUCAAAUGUAAUAUUUUCUUUCAACAUGGACAAGUGCUUUGAGACUUUCCAUUCGAGCAGCCUUGCACACAGCCCCCAGCAUUUGUCAAUUACUCCUGACAAAUACCAUUUGGGCCUGAGUGAUGUCGUAAGGGAAAUAAAAUGGUGGGAGGAAAAAAACCAGAACAUGAUAAAAGGCAUUUUUUUUGGUCUGCUGAGAACUUACUGUAAGUUAUCCAUUCAUGAGGGAAGGCCUCCCUUCCUGCCAGUGAUGGCCCCCAUGUGAUCUUGAGUUCUAAGGUGACUUUUGUUUGACAGUAAUAGGAAGGGCAGACAAAACUCAGUUUUCAUGUCCCUUAAAAGGGAGUCAGCUCUUUUUUCCCCCAUCACGAAGAAAAAAAAUGUAUAUAAACAAAGGAAGGGACACAAGGCCCUGUCAUUCCACAUAAUGUGAACUAAUGGGCGAGAACAAUGCCGUGAAAUCAGCCUGGCCAGAACACCCAGCUGCCAGCAGCUCCGCCUGGCUCCAGCCUGCAAGCUUGGAGCAUGUCAGAACCCGCUGCGGGUAACCAAAGCCACAAGAAAGAAAAGGCACAGCCAGCAUUCAGAGUGCACUUGUCUGGUCCUCCCCUCGCCCCAUCUCUCCUGAACUUUCCUUCUCUUCAGGGGUCUUUCUGCCCCAGAACCCACAGACAGCCUAAGACCAACAAAGACUAAGUCCAUUCCCAAUACCAUUGCUUCAGUCUUUAAGAUUCCAACAAAAUUCAUCCCUAAACUUGACUUCAGUGUAGUGAGGAAUCAGAGAGUGGCCCAAGGAGAUGCCCAGAAAGUGGUUGCCUGGGUACAAAGCCCACAUGGCAUCCAUCAAGCAGACCACUACUGUGUCCAGCCCAGUCUACAUUCUUGGGCAAGGUGGGACCUUGCCUAUUGACCCACUGAGCUGGGCUUUCCUCAUCUAUCAGGAAGCAGGAAUGAAAUCAAUUCAUAGAUGGCACCCAUCUCAUACCGUGCUGGCCCCUAGUAGCUACACAGUC
rnacentral:lncRNA from 1 species